rnacentral:rRNA from 1 species
ACUCCUACGGGAGGCAGCAGUAGGUACUCCUACGGGAGGCAGCAGUGGGGAAUAUUGGACAAUGGGCGCAAGCCUGAAUCCAGCCUCCNGCCAUGCCGCGUGAGUGAUGAAGGCCCUAGGGUCGUAAAGCUCUUUCAACCGGUGAAGAUAAUGACGGUAACCGGANAANAAGCCCCGGCUAACUUCNUGCCAGCAGCCGCGGUAAU